GAGUUUGAUCAUGGCUCAGGACGAACGCUGGCGGCGUGCCUAAUACAUGCAAGUAGAACGCUGAAGAGAGGAGCUUGCUCUUCUUGGAUGAGUUGCGAACGGGUGAGUAACGCGUAGGUAACCUGCCUUGUAGCGGGGGAUAACUAUUGGAAACGAUAGCUAAUACCGCAUAACAAUAGGUGACACAUGUCAUUUAUUUGAAAGGGGCAAUUGCUCCACUACAAGAUGGACCUGCGUUGUAUUAGCUAGUAGGUGAGGUAACGGCUCACCUAGGCGACGAUACAUAGCCGACCUGAGAGGGUGAUCGGCCAUACUGGGACUGAGACACGGCCCAGACUCCUACGGGAGGCAGCAGUAGGGAAUCUUCGGCAAUGGGGGCAACCCUGACCGAGCAACGCCGCGUGAGUGAAGAAGGUUUUCGGAUCGUAAAGCUCUGUUGUAAGUCAAGAACGAGUGUGAGAGUGGAAAGUUCACACUGUGACGGUAGCUUACCAGAAAGGGACGGCUAACUACGUGCCAGCAGCCGCGGUAAUACGUAGGUCCCGAGCGUUGUCCGGAUUUAUUGGGCGUAAAGCGAGCGCAGGCGGUUUGAUAAGUCUGAAGUUAAAGGCUGUGGCUCAACCAUAGUUCGCUUUGGAAACUGUCAAACUUGAGUACAGAAGGGGAGAGUGGAAUUCCAUGUGUAGCGGUGAAAUGUGUAGAUAUAUGGAGGAACACCGGUGGCGAAAGCGGCUCUCUGGUCUGUAACUGACGCUGAGGCUCGAAAGCGUGGGGAGCGAACAGGAUUAGAUACCCUGGUAGUCCACGCCGUAAACGAUGAGUGCUAGGUGUUGGAUCCUUUCCGGGAUUCAGUGCCGCAGCUAACGCAUUAAGCACUCCGCCUGGGGAGUACGACCGCAAGGUUGAAACUCAAAGGAAUUGACGGGGGCCCGCACAAGCGGUGGAGCAUGUGGUUUAAUUCGAAGCAACGCGAAGAACCUUACCAGGUCUUGACAUCCCGAUGCUAUUUCUAGAGAUAGAAAGUUACUUCGGUACAUCGGUGACAGGUGGUGCAUGGUUGUCGUCAGCUCGUGUCGUGAGAUGUUGGGUUAAGUCCCGCAACGAGCGCAACCCCUAUUGUUAGUUGCCAUCAUUCAGUUGGGCACUCUAGCGAGACUGCCGGUAAUAAACCGGAGGAAGGUGGGGAUGACGUCAAAUCAUCAUGCCCCUUAUGACCUGGGCUACACACGUGCUACAAUGGUUGGUACAACGAGUUGCGAGUCGGUGACGGCAAGCUAAUCUCUUAAAGCCAAUCUCAGUUCGGAUUGUAGGCUGCAACUCGCCUACAUGAAGUCGGAAUCGCUAGUAAUCGCGGAUCAGCACGCCGCGGUGAAUACGUUCCCGGGCCUUGUACACACCGCCCGUC
rnacentral:rRNA from 1 species